rnacentral:rRNA from 1 species
AUUGAACGCUGGCGGAAUGCUUUACACAUGCAAGUCGAACGGCAGCACGGGAGCUUGCUCCUGGUGGCGAGUGGCGAACGGGUGAGUAAUAUAUCGGAACGUAUCCAAUAAUGGGGGAUAACUAGUCGAAAGAUUAGCUAAUACCGCAUACGCCCUGAGGGGGAAAGCUGGGGGAUCUUCGGACCUAGCGUUAAUGGAGCGGCCGAUAUCUGAUUAGCUAGUAGGUGAGGUAAGAGCUCACCUAGGCGACGAUCAGUAGCUGGUCUGAGAGGACGACCAGCCACACUGGAACUGAGACACGGUCCAGACUCCGUACGGGAGGCAGCAGUGGGGUAAUUUGGACAAUGGGGCG